rnacentral:rRNA from 1 species
GACGUAGGGUGCGAGCGUUGUCCGGAUUUAUUGGGCGUAAAGAGCUCGUAGGCGGCUCGUCGCGUCGACCGUGAAAACCCGCGGCUCAACCGUGUGGCUUGCAGUCGAUACGGGCAGGCUAGAGUUCGGUAGGGGAGACUGGAAUUCCUGGUGUAGCGGUGAAAUGCGCAGAUAUCAGGAGGAACACCGGUGGCGAAGGCGGGUCUCUGGGCCGAUACUGACGCUGAGGAGCGAAAGCGUGGGGAGCGAACAGG